rnacentral:rRNA from 1 species
UACGGGGGGAGCAAGCGUUGUUCGGAUUCACUGGGCGUAAAGGGCGCGUAGGCGGCGUGACAAGUCACUUGUGAAAUCUCCGGGCUUAACUCGGAGCGGCCAAGUGAUACUGUCGUGCUAGAGUGCGGAAGGGGCUACUGGAAUUCUCGGUGUAGCGGUGAAAUGCGUAGAUAUCGAGAGGAACACCUGCGGCGAAGGCGGGUAGCUGGGCCGACACUGACGCUGAGGCGCGAAAGCUAGGGGAGCGAACGGG